GCCUGGCUGGCUCAGUCGGAAGAGCAUGUGAUUCCUGAUCUAGGGGUUGUGAGUUCAAGCCUCACGUUGGGUG
rnacentral:tRNA from 1 species